GAGUUUUAUAUAUUUUAGAUUAAUUAAGAGUUAAGUUUUUUUUGAUUAGUUUAGUAUAUUUAGUUGGGAGAAUUAUUAGAUUAUAUUAAUUUUAAUUUUUAUAAAAUAUUAAUUUAUAGGUGAGAGAAUGGUAAUUUUAUGAUUAAAGAAUUAAUUACCUUAGGGAUAACAGCGUAAUAUUUUUGGAGAGUUCUUAUUGAUAAAAAUGAUUGC
rnacentral:rRNA from 1 species